AUGCUUGCUUUGGCAGCACAUAUACUAAAACUGGAAUGAUACAGAGAAGAUUAGCAUGGCCCCUGCACACAGAUGACAUGCAAAUUCAUGAAGCAUUCCGUAGUUUU
rnacentral:snRNA from 1 species